GACAGAGGGGGCAAGCGUUGCUCGGAAUCACUGGGCGUAAAGGGCGCGUAGGCGGGAUGGCAAGUCGGUCGUGAAAUCCUUCGGCUCAACCGAAGAACGUCGGCCGAUACUGCCGUUCUUGAGGGAUGCAGAGGAGACUGGAAUUCCCGGUGUAGCGGUGAAAUGUGUAGAGAUCGGGAGGAACACCGGUGGCGAAGGCGGGUCUCUGGGCAUCUCCUGACGCUGAGGCGCGAAAGCGUGGGGAGCAAACGGGG
rnacentral:rRNA from 1 species